ACGAGAAGACCCCAUGGAGCUUUAAACCCAACAGCACCUAUUCUUUUUAAAUCCACUUAUUCUUAUAGUAAGUGCUUGCUUGGUUUUAGGUUGGGGUGACCGCGGAGUAAAAAUGAGCCUCCACGAAAAAAGGCAUAAAAGCCUUAUCAAAGAAUCACACUUCUAUGAAUUAGUAAACUAAUUUUUGAUGAUCCGAUAUUCGAUCAACGAACCAAGUUACCCUGGGGAUAACAGCGCAAUCCACCUCAAGAGCUCCUAUCGACAAGUGGGUUUACGACCUCGAUGUUGGAUCAGGGUACCCCAGUGGUGCAGCAGCUACUAAAGGUUCGUUUGUUCAACGAUUAAAACCCU
rnacentral:rRNA from 1 species